CAGCAGUAAAGUCAGUCAUAUUUCAUUGAACGCGUUUGUUACUAAAGAAUAAUACAAACAAAUACUUAGAAAUCAUAAAAUAUUGCUGAAAGUUCAACAAGAAUUGAGUAGACUUUUAAGUGUUUUCAGGAAAUGUUUUCUGCCGUGCCCUAAAUGUUGCCACGAAAUACAGAAUAAAUCGAUAAUUGAGUUGAAAUUGAUGGCGGUGGCCAAACAUGGUUGCAAAAAUACAAACUAUUGAAGAAAAUAAUGGAUACGAGAAAUGCAACGAAUACACGGAACCACAGCAACCACGCAGAAGAAAAAAGCAGCGGAGUUGUGUGGUGUAAAUUUGGCAAACGCAAUACGGAUAUAUCGGUUGAUUACGUCGACCGCAUUUCUUCUGGAAGCAACAUGUGAGCAUUAGCGGUUUAUGCAAAAGAAAAUGUGAGGAAAAAGAGCGGACUAGUGUUCACCUUACAGAUAGGAAAAAUUUACAACAAAUAUCAAUUUAUAAAUACAUACAUAU